UUAUUUAGCCCUUCAUGUCCAGGAUGAGAAGGAGGGAUAUGAGCUAGAAGAGACAGCCAAGGAACAUGAGUGUACUUGCAAGUAUCUGUCAUAAGUUUCACUGUUUCAUUCAGUUGCUUUGUGAUGAUUAGAUCAUAUUGUGAACACUUGUUCAGGAACAGAAAUCCAUCCAGUUCUCUGGGCACAAGUGCUGUCCUUCGGUCCAGUUGGUCGC